UACGUAGGGAGCAAGCGUGGUCCGGAAUCAUUGGGCGUAAAGCGCGCGUAGGUGGCCCCAUAAGUCCGCUGUGAAAGUCAAAGGCUCAACCUUUGAAAGCCGGUGGAUACUGUGGGACUAGAGUACGGAAGAGGCGAGUGGAAUUCCUGGUGUAGCGGUGGAAUGCGCAGAUAUCAGGAGGAACACCAAUAGCGAAGGCAGCUCGCUGGGACGUUACUGACACUGAGGCGCGAAAGCGUGGGGAGCGAACAGG
rnacentral:rRNA from 1 species